GACCCCGGAGGUCACCGCCCGCCGGCGCGUUGCGCUCGCGGGUGCGUUUCGU
rnacentral:sRNA from 1 species